AGUGAACGCUGGCGGUAGGCCUAACACAUGCAAGUCGAACGGCAGCACAGUAAGAGCUUGCUCUUACGGGUGGCGAGUGGCGGACGGGUGAGGAAUACAUCGGAAUCUACUUUUUCGUGGGGGAUAACGUAGGGAAACUUACGCUAAUACCGCAUACGACCUACGGGUGAAAGCAGGGGAUCUUCGGACCUUGCGCGAUUGAAUGAGCCGAUGUCGGAUUAGCUAGUUGGCGGGGUAAAGGCCCACCAAGGCGACGAUCCGUAGCUGGUCUGAGAGGAUGAUCAGCAACACUGGAACUGAGACACGGUCCAGACUCCUACGGGAGGCAGCAGUGGGGAAUAUUGGACAAUGGGCGCAAGCCUGAUCCAGCCAUACCGCGUGGGUGAAGAAGGCCUUCGGGUUGUAAAGCCCUUUUGUUGGGAAAGAAAUCCAGCCGGCUAAUACCUGGUUGGGAUGACGGUACCCAAAGAAUAAGCACCGGCUAACUUCGUG
rnacentral:rRNA from 1 species